rnacentral:rRNA from 1 species
UUGGAGGGCAAGUCUGGUGCCAGCAGCCGCGGUAAUUCCAGCUCCAAUAGCGUAUAUUAAAGUUGUUGCAGUUAAAAAGCUCGUAGUUGAAUUUCGGGAUCAGUUGGUCGGUCGUGCCCCGAUACGUACUGGUCAAAUUGAUUCCUACCUUCUGACGAACCACGAUGUCAUUAAUUUGGUGUCGCGGGAAAUCAGGACUGUUACUUUGAAAAAAUUAGAGUGUUUAAAGCAGGCUCGCGCUUGAAUACAUUAGCAUGGAAUAAUGAAAUAGGACGUUUGAUUCUAUUUUGUAGGUUUCUAGGAUCGACGUAAUGAUUAAUAGGGAUAGUUGGGGGCAUUAGUAUUCAAUUGUCAGAGGUGAAAUUCUUGGAUUUAUUGAAGACUAACUACUGCGAAAGCAUUUGCCAAGGAUGUUUUCAUUAAUCAAGAACGAAAGUUAGGGGAUCGAAGACGAUCAGAUACCGUCGUAGUCUUAACCAUAAACUAUGCCGACUAGGGAUCGGAUGAUGUUAAUUUUUUAAUGACUCAUUCGGCGCCUUACGGGAAACCAAAGUGUUUGGGUUC